rnacentral:piRNA from 1 species
GCUUCUAGGAGGCAGGACAGGGUUCUCUAG